UUCUCAGUUCGGCUGCAGUCUGCAACUCGACUGCACGAAGCUGGAAUCGCUAGUAAUCGCGGAUCAGCACGCCGCGGUGAAUACGUUCCCGGGCCUUGUACACACCGCCCGUCACACCAUGGAAGUCUGCAAUGCCCGAAGCCGGUGGCCUAACCACUUAUGUGGAAGGAGCCGUCUAAGGCAGGGCAGAUGACUGGGGUGAAGUCGUAACAAGGUAUC
rnacentral:rRNA from 1 species